UAUAUGCCACAUGUUGCAUUAGUUGGAAUCAUUUCAUAGUGUCAAAAAUAAAACAAAUUUCCUAAUAUGAAAUUUGUAAUAUUCAAAAUAAGAUACUUACCUGCUAUAAAUUUACUUGGAAAAAAAACAAACAUUAAAAGAAAGAUUCAUUUGCUCUUCAUUAAUCAAAACUAAUUUACAUCACAUUACAACAUUCUAUAGAUUCAUGUCUCACAAUAAGCUACAAACUCAUGAUUAUGUAUCACAAUUUCACUUUCCGGGGACAAAGUUGGUCGCGUAAGCCCAGGCGUUGUUGUUAACUGGGUCAGCAAGGUGGUCUGCAAGGUUCUCCAAUGGACCCUUUCCGGUUACGAUAGCUUGAACAAAGAACCCAAACAUGGAGAACAUAGCGAGUCUACCGUUCUUGAUCUCCUUCACCUUGAGCUCAGCGAAAGCCUCAGGGUCAUCGGCAAGUCCUAAGGGAUCAAAGCUACCACCAGGGUAAAGUGGAUCAACAACCUCACCAAGAGGUCCACCCGCAAUACGAUAACCUUCAACAGCACCCAUCAAGACAACUUGACAAGCCCAGAUAGCUAAGAUACUUUGUGCAUGAACCAAACUAGGGUUUCCCAAAUAGUCAAGUCCACCUUCACUGAAGAUUUGUGAACCAGCUUUGAACCAUACAGCUUCACCGAACUUAACACCGUUACGCGCAAGCAACUCAGGGAACACACAACC
rnacentral:lncRNA from 1 species